GUGUGACUGCGUACCUUUUGUAUAAUGGGUCAGCGACUUAUAUUCUGUAGCAAGGUUAACCGAAUAGGGGAGCCGAAGGGAAACCGAGUCUUAACUGGGCGUUAAGUUGCAGGGUAUAGACCCGAAACCCGGUGAUCUAGCCAUGGGCAGGUUGAAGGUUGGGUAACACUAACUGGAGGACCGAACCGACUAAUGUUGAAAAAUUAGCGGAUGACUUGUGGCUGGGGGUGAAAGGCCAAUCAAACCGGGAGAUAGCUGGUUCUCCCCGAAAGCUAUUUAGGUAGCGCCUCGUGAAUUCAUCUCCGGGGGUAGAGCACUGUUUCGGCAAGGGGGUCAUCCCGACUUACCAACCCGAUGCAAACUGCGAAUACCGGAGAAUGUUAUCACGGGAGACACACGGCGGGUGCUAACGUCCGUCGUGAAGAGGGAAACAACCCAGACCGCCAGCUAAGGUCCCAAAGUCAUGGUUAAGUGGGAAACGAUGUGGGAAGGCCCAGACAGCCAGGAUGUUGGCUUAGAAGCAGCCAUCAUUUAAAGAAAGCGUAAUAGCUCACUGGUCGAGUCGGCCUGCGCGGAAGAUGUAACGGGGCUAAACCAUGCACCGAAGCUGCGGCAGCGACGCUUAUGCGUUGUUGGGUAGGGGAGCGUUCUGUAAGCCUGUGAAGGUGUACUGUGAGGUAUGCUGGAGGUAUCAGAAGUGCGAAUGCUGACAUAAGUAACGAUAAAGCGGGUGAAAAGCCCGCUCGCCGGAAGACCAAGGGUUCCUGUCCAACGUUAAUCGGGGCAGGGUGAGUCGACCCCUAAGGCGAGGCCGAAAGGCGUAGUCGAUGGGAAACAGGUUAAUAUUCCUGUACUUGGUGUUACUGCGAAGGGGGGACGGAGAAGGCUAUGUUGGCCGGGCGACGGUUGUCCCGGUUUAAGCGUGUAGGCUGGUUUUCCAGGCAAAUCCGGAAAAUCAAGGCUGAGGCGUGAUGACGAGGCACUACGGUGCUGAAGCAACAAAUGCCCUGCUUCCAGGAAAAGCCUCUAAGCAUCAGGUAACAUCAAAUCGUACCCCAAACCGACACAGGUGGUCAGGUAGAGAAUACCAAGGCGCUUGAGAGAACUCGGGUGAAGGAACUAGGCAAAAUGGUGCCGUAACUUCGGGAGAAGGCACGCUGAUAUGUAGGUGAAGCGACUUGCUCGUGGAGCUGAAAUCAGUCGAAGAUACCAGCUGGCUGCAACUGUUUAUUAAAAACACAGCACUGUGCAAACACGAAAGUGGACGUAUACGGUGUGACGCCUGCCCGGUGCCGGAAGGUUAAUUGAUGGGGUCAGCGCAAGCGAAGCUCUUGAUCGAAGCCCCGGUAAACGGCGGCCGUAACUAUAACGGUCCUAAGGUAGCGAAAUUCCUUGUCGGGUAAGUUCCGACCUGCACGAAUGGCGUAAUGAUGGCCAGGCUGUCUCCACCCGAGACUCAGUGAAAUUGAACUCGCUGUGAAGAUGCAGUGUACCCGCGGCAAGACGGAAAGACCCCGUGAACCUUUACUAUAGCUUGACACUGAACAUUGAGCCUUGAUGUGUAGGAUAGGUGGGAGGCUUUGAAGUGUGGACGCCAGUCUGCAUGGAGCCGACCUUGAAAUACCACCCUUUAAUGUUUGAUGUUCUAACGUGGACCCGUAAUCCGGGUUGCGGACAGUGUCUGGUGGGUAGUUUGACUGGGGCGGUCUCCUCCUAAAGAGUAACGGAGGAGCACGAAGGUUGGCUAAUCCUGGUCGGACAUCAGGAGGUUAGUGCAAUGGCAUAAGCCAGCUUGACUGCGAGCGUGACGGCGCGAGCAGGUGCGAAAGCAGGUCAUAGUGAUCCGGUGGUUCUGAAUGGAAGGGCCAUCGCUCAACGGAUAAAAGGUACUCCGGGGAUAACAGGCUGAUACCGCCCAAGAGUUCAUAUCGACGGCGGUGUUUGGCACCUCGAUGUCGGCUCAUCACAUCCUGGGGCUGAAGUAGGUCCCAAGGGUAUGGCUGUUCGCCAUUUAAAGUGGUACGCGAGCUGGGUUUAGAACGUCGUGAGACAGUUCGGUCCCUAUCUGCCGUGGGCGCUGGAGAACUGAGGGGGGCUGCUCCUAGUACGAGAGGACCGGAGUGGACGCAUCACUGGUGUUCGGGUUGUCAUGCCAAUGGCACUGCCCGGUAGCUAAAUGCGGAAGAGAUAAGUGCUGAAAGCAUCUAAGCACGAAACUUGCCCCGAGAUGAGUUCUCCCUGACUCCUUGA
rnacentral:rRNA from 1 species